rnacentral:rRNA from 1 species
CCCUAGUAACGGCGAGUGAAGCGGGAACAGCUCAAAUUUGAAAUCUGGCCCUCGGGUCCGAGUUGUAAUUUGCAGAGGAUGCUUUUGGCGCGGUGCCUUCCGAGUUCCCUGGAACGGGACGCCUUAGAGGGUGAGAGCCCCGUACGGUUGGCCACCAAGCCUGUGUAAAGCUCCUUCGACGAGUCGAGUAGUUUGGGAAUGCUGCUCAAAACGGGAGGUAUAUUUCUUCUAAAGCUAAAUACUGGCCAGAGACCGAUAGCGCACAAGUAGAGUGAUCGAAAGAUGAAAAGCACUUUGAAAAGAGGGUUAAAUAGCACGUGAAAUUGUUGAAAGGGAAGGGUUUAUGACCAGACUUUUUCUAGGGGGAUCAUCCGGUGUUCUCACCGGUGCACUUCCCCUAGUUGAGGCCAGCAUCGGUUUCUGCCGGGGGAUAAAAGCUUCGGGAAUGUGGCUCCUUCGGGAGUGUUAUAGCCCGUUGUAUAAUACCCUGGCGGGGACCGAGGUUCGCGCAUUCGCAAGGAUGCUGGCGUAAUGGUUAUUAACCACCCGUCUUGAAACACGGACCAAGGAGUCGAACAUUUGUGCGAGUGUUUGGGUGUUAAACCCUCACGCGUAAUGAAAGUGAACGGAGGUGAGAGCCUUUAGGGGUGCAUCAUCGACCGAUCCUGAUGUCUUCGGAUGGAUUUGAGUAGGAGCAUCACUGUUCGGACCCGAAAGAUGGUGAACUAUGCGUGGAUAGGGUGAAGCCAGAGGAAACUCUGGUGGAGGCUCGCAGCGGUUCUGACGUGCAAAUCGAUCGUCAAAUCUGCGCAUGGGGGCGAAAGACUAAUCGAACCAU